CAGCAGCCGCGGGAAUACGGAGGGUGCAAGCGUUAAUCGGAAUUACUGGGCGUAAAGCGCACGCAGGCGGUUUGUUAAGUCAGAUGUGAAAUCCCCGGGCUCAACCUGGGAACUGCAUUUGAAACUGGCAAGCUAGAGUCUCGUAGAGGGGGGUAGAAUUCCAGGUGUAGCGGUGAAAUGCGUAGAGAUCUGGAGGAAUACCGGUGGCGAAGGCGGCCCCCUGGACGAAGACUGACGCUCAGGUGCGAAAGCGUGGGGAGCAAACAGGAUUAGAUACCCGAGUAGUCCCUGUCUCUUAUAC
rnacentral:rRNA from 1 species